UUUACGGAGAGUUUGAUUCUGGCUCAGAACGAACGCUGGCGGCGUGGAUAAGACAUGCAAGUCGAACGGGACAAUAUCUGUAGCAAUACAGGUGUUGUUUAGUGGCGAACGGGUGCGUAACACGUGGGCAAUCUGCCGAGAAGUGGGGGAUAGCUCGCCGAAAGGCGAAUUAAUACCGCAUAUGAUCAGAGGCGACAUCGCUUCGAAAUCAAAGGUGGCGCAAGCUACCGCUUUCCGAUGAGCCCGCGGCCUAUCAGCUAGUUGGUGAGGUAACGGCUCACCAAGGCGAUGACGGGUAGCUGGUCUGAGAGGACGACCAGUCACACUGGAACUGAGACACGGUCCAGACACCUACGGGUGGCAGCAGUCGAGAAUUUUUCUCAAUGGGGGCAACCCUGAAGGAGCGACGCCGCGUGGAGGAUGAAGGCUUUCGGGUUGUAAACUCCUGUCAUUUGAGAACAAGUGUAGCUAAGUAACUACUGGCUACUUGAUAGUAUCAGAAGAGGAAGAGACGGCUAACUCUGUGCCAGCAGCCGCGGUAAUACAGAGGUCUCAAGCGUUGUUCGGAUUCAUUGGGCGUAAAGGGUGCGUAGGUGGCGGGGUAAGUCAGGUGUGAAAUUUCGGAGCUUAACUCCGAAACUGCAUUUGAUACUGCCUUGCUUGAGGACUGGAGAGGAGACUGGAAUUCACGGUGUAGCAGUGAAAUGCGUAGAGAUCGUGAGGAAGACCAGUGGCGAAGGCGGGUCUCUGGACAGUUCCUGACACUGAGGCACGAAGGCCAGGGGAGCAAACGGGAUUAGAUACCCCGGUAGUCCUGGCAGUAAACGGUGCACGUUUGGUGUGGGGGGAUUCGACCCCUUCCGCGCCGGAGCUAACGCGUUAAACGUGCCGCCUGGGGAGUACGGUCGCAAGAUUAAAACUCAAAGAAAUUGACGGGGGCCCGCACAAGCGGUGGAGUAUGUGGCUUAAUUCG
rnacentral:rRNA from 1 species